rnacentral:rRNA from 1 species
AUACGCCAAUGGACUGCAGAACUGAUACUACCAAGGGGAAUCUGACCGUUUAAUUAAACCAUAGCUAACUGCUAAAGCUCUCAAUGCUCCAUUGUUGGUGAUUCCUGCCCAGUGCCACGUCUGUGAACGUGGAAGAAAUUCCGCCCAAGCACGGGUCAACGGCGGGAGUAACUAUGACUCUCUUCAGGUAGCCAAAUGCCUCGUCAUCCAAUUAGUGACGUGCAUGAACGGGUUAACGAGAUUCCCAUUGUCCCUGGUUACAACUCGGCGAACUAGCAGUCAAGGGAACGGACUUGAGUCUGAUUGCGGGGAAAGAAGACCCUGUUGAGUUUGACUCUAGUCUGUCUGCGUAGAAAGAAGACGUCAGGUGUAGUCUAGGUGGGAGACAGCCACGCCUUUCGGGGCAAGGGACCGGGGCGAACCCGCAACCGGCUGACAGCCGUUUCGGGGUUCGGAACGAGUGAAGACCGCCACUGCGUAGUAUCUUUCUGCUCACAGCGUAUGUCUCAACC